UACGGAGGGGGCUAGCGUUGUUCGGAAUUACUGGGCGUAAAGCGCAUGUAGGCGGACUGUUAAGUCGGGGGUGAAAUCCUGGGGCUCAACCUCAGAAUUGCCUCCGAUACUGGCAGUCUCGAGUGCGGGAGAGGUGAGUGGAAUUCCCAGUGUAGAGGUGAAAUUCGUAGAUAUUGGGAAGAACACCAGUGGCGAAGGCGGCUCACUGGCCCGUAACUGACGCUGAGGUGCGAAAGCGUGGGGAGCAAACAGG
rnacentral:rRNA from 1 species